GACGUAGGGCGCGAGCGUUGUCCGGAUUUAUUGGGCGUAAAGAGCUCGUAGGCGGCUUGUCGCGUCGUCCGUGAAAACCUGCAGCUCAACUGCAGGCUUGCGGUCGAUACGGGCAGGCUAGAGUUCGGUAGGGGAGACUGGAAUUCCUGGUGUAGCGGUGAAAUGCGCAGAUAUCAGGAGGAACACCGGUGGCGAAGGCGGCAUCCUGGACCAAUAUUGACGCUGAGGAGCGAAAGCCAGGGGAGCAAACGGG
rnacentral:rRNA from 1 species